GGACACAGAGGCUGGGGAGGGCAAGAUCAGGUGCAGCUGUGGACAACUGAGGAUGAAUUCAGGCAUCACAGCACCAGCAAAUGGCAGGAGCACAUCACAAAAGGUCCUGGCACGUUGGAGAAGAAGGACAAAGGAUGAAAUGGGAACAGUGGAGCAGAGGAAGCAUGGCUUGGAGCAAGAGGCUACCAGGAGGAGUUUGUAACCAGGAUGAAGUUGUGAAUGCCUCAUUUGCAGAGAGCUCUAAAUGGGACAAACUGGAGCAAGUAUGCCACCUGCUCAUGUGACAGUACCUUAUGCAUCUUCAUUGGCUGUCCACGUGUCCAUUAGACCAAGAGGAGCCAUGAAGCAGAGAACAAUCACUUUCUUCCCUCAGCAGACCACAUGUUAACUGAAUAGGAUUUACUUAUGCUUUGUAAGCAAUGUUAUGCUGUGAAGCAGUGUUGGUGGUUGUGGAUACAAGAAAGAAUAUUAAGAUACAACCAUCUCAAAAAUCUUGAGAGAUGAGCCUUUAACUAGAAAAUUCACAUUGGCCAGAGCAGAUAAGUGAGGUAGAAGUUGAGGGGAGAUAACAGGUUUUGAGCAGGCGUUGGUAAACUAUCUUCAGUGAAGUGGAUGAGAAAUAUUUUAGUUUGCUGGAACUGUGUCUUUGACAACUACUCAACUUUACUCACCUUAGACAUCUGCCAAAGAGCAAACAUAUGAAUGGGCCUGGUUAUGUGCCAAUAAAAUUUUAUUUAUUUAUGAUCAUAAUAAUUUGAAUUUUAUAUUAUCCAUUUUCUAAAAAAAAUAGAAAUAUAAAAGUAAUUCUUAACUCCCUGGUAGUACAAAAUUAAGGACAGGUGACAGUUUUUGCUUACUUAAUCUAGAGCUGUAUCUGCAGAGUUACAAAUUAUAGAGAACCGAGCAAGGGAAAUUAUAAAAAUUGUAAGAAACAGUCUUUAGACUUUUCCAAGCUCUCUGGGUAUCAGAUCAGUGUGUCCUGCUUCACCCAGAAAAUGGGGGUGUGCUUUUCUUGAAGGUACUGGCUGAUCCUUAAGUGCAGCCUGGGGCCAUUAGGAUUUGUAGAAAAGAUAAAGAAAGUAAGGACUAUUUACAGACAGAUUUUGGUUCCACAAGCUGUGAUCUACUUUUUGCUAUUGCUUAUAUAUAUUUGCACUCAAAGUUAUUUGUCAUCCCUUUUCUUCUGGCUUUGACCCAUCUCCUUUCAUAAAAUAUUCUCCUAUUCCUGUUGUCCUCCUGAAGGAAUGGAUUUAGCCUUCUGAAAUCCUUUUUGCUCUACAAGGAGAUUUGGUGUAAAGUGAGUGAACCCUUAUGUGUCACACAAGGAAGUUUACUUGCUAAAAUAAACUGACCUCCUGACGGUCUUGCUCAGAAUGAGCACCAUACAGCAAGUUUUCGGGAGUGCAUAGACACUGAGUAUCUACAAAUGUCUUCUAUUAAUUAAUCCCACUCUGGAAACCUGUACUUUUCUUCCUUAUUUGCAUAAAACACCUGAAAAUGAGCAUCACUGAGAACAGUGUCAAGCCUGGAUAACUACAAGUUUCAUCAGGUACUAACUGAAUGACCUUCAACACAUUUUCUGAAUUUUGUCUGAGUGAUUGACAAUACUAUUCAAAGAGAAACAAAUAGGAACAAGAAGCCAAUUUGACCUUCCUGGGACCAACGCAAGCCAUGUGGGUCCUAGGAGGAGAACAGCCAGCUUCACCCUUCCCAUGAGUCAGCAGAAGCCAUGCUGGGCUUGAGAAGGGUAACAAGGAGAAAUUAACAAGAAGCCAGUUUGCCAUUCUCGGCACCGUGCUCAAGCCAUGCAGAUCCCAGAGGGAGAACGAGUCAAAUUCACCCUUACCUUGAGUUGGUUAGAGCAUGUUGAGCCUGGGAAGAGUAACAAGAACCACGAGAAGCCAACGUGCCCUUCCCAUAGACUGACUGGUGUGUAAAGUAAGAGACAAAAACACCCUCCCCCUCCCAUAAGCAGAUGGCUGACUUGGAGGACACGUUGACUUGAUAGCAUCUGAAGUACAGAAACAACUUAAUGCUUCUGUUGUUUGGCUGACUUUGCAGGCCUGAGCCUGGUGGUACAGCCCUCUACUGAGAGGAUAACAGGGUGCCGUGUAGCAACUAUGGGAGGUUUCCUUGUCUUGUUUUUGAAAUCCAAUUAUUGUUCUCACUGUUUUGUUUUGUUCUAUUUUAUUGUUUUGUUUUACUUAAUGUCCUGUUUUGAUUGAUUUCAUUCUGUGUUAUUUAGUUUGAUUUUGUUAUAUCUGAUGGUCUAGCUAUAAUUUUGAAGAUAACAGAAGGCGUUAUGGUAGCCAAUGCUGAUUUCCUGUUUUGAAAUCUUAUAUCACUUUCAUUGUUUUAUUUUGAUUGGUUUUAUUCUAUGUUUUUUUUCUUUUGAUUGAUUUUAUUCUGCUUAGUUUUGUUUGAUUUUAUGUCUGAUGAUAUGGACAGCUAUUUUAAAGAAAACGAGACAUGAUGGUAGCCAUUGUCAAUUUCUUAUUAUUUUGUUUUGAAACCCUGUAUCACUUUCCCUGUUCUGUUCUGGUUGGCUUUAUUCUGUUUUGUUUUGUUUGGUUUUAUUCUUUUCAAAAUAAAAAUUAACAAAAGGCAGCAAAUCACAAA